rnacentral:sRNA from 2 species
CAGAAGGAUUUCUAGGGUUCCGUAAACAAAUUUGUUUAGACUGGUCCGAGAGAAAUCCCGCAUCAAUUUGAUGUGCCACGGAAGGACAAAAGCCUGGGAGUU